rnacentral:rRNA from 1 species
GACAGAGGUGCCAAGCGUUAGGCGGAAUCACUGGGCUUAAAGCGUGUGUAGGCGGACGCCUAAGUGCCUUGUGAAAUCCCCCGGCUCAACCGGGGAAUGGCUUGGCAUACUGGGUGUCUUGAGCUGCCCAGGGGCAACUGGAACAGACGGUGGAGCGGUGAAAUGCGUAGAUAUCGUCUGGAACGCCAACGGUGAAAACAGGUUGCUGGGGGCAUGCUGACGCUGAGACACGAAAGCCAGGGGAG